UACGUAGGGUGCGAGCGUUGUCCGGAAUUAUUGGGCGUAAAGAGCUCGUAGGCGGUGUGUCACGUCGGCCGUGAAAACCUGGGGCUUAACUCUGGGCGUGCGGUCGAUACGGGCAUCACUAGAGUUCGGCAGGGGAGACUGGAAUUCCUGGUGUAGCGGUGAAAUGCGCAGAUAUCAGAGGGAACACCGGUGGCGAAGGGCGGGAUCUC
rnacentral:rRNA from 1 species